GUGAGGAAUAUUGCGCAAUGGAGGCAACUCUGACGCAGCCAUGCCGCGUGCAGGAAGAAGGCGCUACGCGUUGUAAACUGCUUUUAACCGGGAAGAAACCCCAGGACGUGUCCUGGGUUGACGGUACCGGAGGAAUAAGCACCGGCUAACUUCGUGCCAGCAGCCGCGGUAAUACGAAGGGUGCAAGCGUUAUCCGGAUUCACUGGGCGUAAAGGGUGCGUAGGCGGAGCGUUAAGUCAGUGGUGAAAUCCUGCAGCUUAACUGUAGACUUGCCAUUGAUACUGGCGCUCUUGAGUGCGCUUGAAGUGGGCGGAAUGUGCCGUGUAGCGGUGAAAUGCUUAGAUAUGGCACAGAACACCAAUUGCGAAGGCAGCUCACUAAGGCGAUACUGACGCUGAGGCACGAAAGCGUGGGGAUCGAACAGGAUUAGAAACCCUGGUAGUCC
rnacentral:rRNA from 1 species